GGGUUGUGAGGUUAAGCGACUAAGCGUACACGGUGGAUGCCCUGGCAGUCAGAGGCGAUGAAGGACGUGCUAAUCUGCGAUAAGCGUCGGUAAGGUGAUAUGAACCGUUAUAACCGGCGAUUUCCGAAUGGGGAAACCCAGUGUGUUUCGACACACUAUCAUUAACUGAAUCCAUAGGUUAAUGAGGCGAACCGGGGGAACUGAAACAUCUAAGUACCCCGAGGAAAAGAAAUCAACCGAGAUUCCCCCAGUAGCGGCGAGCGAACGGGGAGCAGCCCAGAGCCUGAAUCAGUGUGUGUGUUAGUGGAAGCGUCUGGAAAGGCGUGCGAUACAGGGUGACAGCCCCGUACACAAAAAUGCACAUGCUGUGAGCUCGAUGAGUAGGGCGGGACACGUGGUAUCCUGUCUGAAUAUGGGGGGACCAUCCUCCAAGGCUAAAUACUCCUGACUGACCGAUAGUGAACCAGUACCGUGAGGGAAAGGCGAAAAGAACCCCGGCGAGGGGAGUGAAAAAGAACCUGAAACCGUGUACGUACAAGCAGUGGGAGCACGCUUAGGCGUGUGACUGCGUACCUUUUGUAUAAUGGGUCAGCGACUUAUAUUCUGUAGCAAGGUUAACCGAAUAGGGGAGCCGAAGGGAAACCGAGUCUUAACUGGGCGUUAAGUUGCAGGGUAUAGACCCGAAACCCGGUGAUCUAGCCAUGGGCAGGUUGAAGGUUGGGUAACACUAACUGGAGGACCGAACCGACUAAUGUUGAAAAAUUAGCGGAUGACUUGUGGCUGGGGGUGAAAGGCCAAUCAAACCGGGAGAUAGCUGGUUCUCCCCGAAAGCUAUUUAGGUAGCGCCUCGUGAAUUCAUCUCCGGGGGUAGAGCACUGUUUCGGCAAGGGGGUCAUCCCGACUUACCAACCCGAUGCAAACUGCGAAUACCGGAGAAUGUUAUCACGGGAGACACACGGCGGGUGCUAACGUCCGUCGUGAAGAGGGAAACAACCCAGACCGCCAGCUAAGGUCCCAAAGUCAUGGUUAAGUGGGAAACGAUGUGGGAAGGCCCAGACAGCCAGGAUGUUGGCUUAGAAGCAGCCAUCAUUUAAAGAAAGCGUAAUAGCUCACUGGUCGAGUCGGCCUGCGCGGAAGAUGUAACGGGGCUAAACCAUGCACCGAAGCUGCGGCAGCGAC
rnacentral:rRNA from 1 species